GACAGAGGUGCCGAGCGUUAGGCGGAAUCACUGGGCUUAAAGCGUGUGUAGGCGGGGCCGUAAGUACCUUGUGAAAUCCCACGGCUCAACCGUGGAACUGCUCGGUAUACUGCGGGCCUUGAGCCAGCUAGGGGCAACCGGAACAAACGGUGGAGCGGUGAAAUGCGUAGAUAUGACAUAGAACACCAAUUGCGAAGGCAGCUCGCUACACAUAUAUUGACUCUGAGGCACGAAAGCGUGGGGAUCAAACAGG
rnacentral:rRNA from 1 species